rnacentral:rRNA from 1 species
GAUGAACGCUAGCUACAGGCUUAACACAUGCAAGUCGAGGGGCAGCGGUAUCAAAAGCUUGCUUUCGGUAGCCGGCGACCGGCGCACGGGUGAGUAACGCGUAUCGAACCUGCCUCAUACUCGGGAAUAGCCUUGCGAAAGUAAGAUUAAUGCCCGGUGUUUUCAGAGUCCCGCAUGAGGCUUUGAACAAAGAUUUAUCGGUAUGAGAUGGCGAUGCGUCCCAUUAGCUUGUUGGCGGGGUAACGGCCCACCAAGGCAUCGAUGGGUAGGGGUUCUGAGAGGAAGGUCCCCCACAUUGGAACUGAGACACGGUCCAAACUCCUACGGGAGGCAGCAGUGAGGAAUAUUGGUCAAUGGGCGGAAGCCUGAACCAGCCAAGUAGCGUGCAGGAAGACGGCCCUCCGGGUUGUAAACUGCUUUUAGUUGGGAAUAAAACGGGGCUCGUGAGCCCCCUUGCAUGUACCAUCAGAAAAAGGACCGGCUAAUUCCGUG